GCUGAUCAUCUUUACAAACUUCAACCUUCUCUUCCAACGUCAAGACCCCUCUGUCUACCUACUACAUGACCAAAUCAGGUUUUUCAUAAAGAAACUGAUGUCAAAAUUCCUGAAGCCAGGAGCUUUCAGAACAGUUGAUGUGGACAGUGUGGACAUCAUGAAUGAAGAGAACCAACUCCCAGAUUCACAGCUUGGCAUUGGCUUCACAACAAGAACCACUUUGAACAGACUCCUUGAAGCUGGUCAUGUCUCCCCUGAGGCUGUUAAGAAGUUCCACAUG